rnacentral:rRNA from 1 species
GGACUACCAGGGUAUCUAAUCCUGUUUGCUCCCCACGCUUUCGCGCCUCAGCGUCAGUUACGGUCCAGAGAGCCGCCUUCGCCACCGGUGUUCUUCCCAAUAUCUACGAAUUUCACCUCUACACUGGGAAUUCCACUCUCCUCUCCCGUACUCAAGCAAAAGAGUAUCAAGCGCAAUUCCCAGGUUGAGCCCGGGGCUUUCACGCCUGACUUCUUCCGCCGCCUGCGCGCCCUUUACGCCCAGUAAUUCCGAACAACGCUCGCCCCCUUCGUAUUACCGCGGCUGCUGGCAC